rnacentral:rRNA from 1 species
UACGAAGGGGGGCUAGCGUUGUUCGGAAUUACUGGGCGUAAAGGGCGCGUAGGCGGCCCGCUAAGUCGAACGUGAAAUCCCCGGGCUUAACCCGGGAACUGCGUCCGAUACUGGCAGGCUUGAAUUCGGGAGAGGGAUGUGGAAUUCCAGGUGUAGCGGUGAAAUGCGUAGAUAUCUGGAGGAACACCGGUGGCGAAGGCGGCAUCCUGGGACCGAUAUUGACGCUGAUGCGCGAAAGCCAGGGGAGCAAACGGG